rnacentral:rRNA from 1 species
GGGGGAUAUUGCGCAAUGGGGGCAACCCUGACGCAGCAACGCCGCGUGAAGGAUGAAGGUUUUCGGAUUGUAAACUUCUUUUAUUAAGGACGAAACUUGACGGUACUUAAUGAAUAAGCUCCGGCUAACUACGUGCCAGCAGCCGCGGUAAUACGUAGGGAGCAAGCGUUGUCCGGAUUUACUGGGUGUAAAGGGUGCGUAGGCGGCUUUGCAAGUCAGAUGUGAAAUCUAUGGGCUCAACCCAUAAACUGCAUUUGAAACUGUAGAGCUUGAGUGAAGUAGAGGCAGGCGGAAUUCCCCGUGUAGCGGUGAAAUGCGUAGAGAUGGGGAGGAACACCAGUGGCGAAGGCGGCCUGCUGGGCUUUAACUGACGCUGAGGCACGAAAGCGUGGGUAGCAAACAGGAUUAGAUACCCUGGUAGUCCACGCUGUAAACGAUGAUUACUAGGUGUGGGGGGUCUGACCCCUUCCGUGCCGGAGUUAACACAAUAAGUAAUCCACCUGGGGAGUACGGCCGCAAGGUUGAAACUCAAAGGAAUUGACGGGGGCCCGCACAAGCAGUGGAGUAUGUGGUUUAAUUCGAAGCAACGCGAAGAACCUUACCAGGUCUUGACAUCCAACUAACGAAGUAGAGAUACAUUAGGUGCCCUUCGGGGAAAGUUGAGACAGGUGGUGCAUGGUUGUCGUCAGCUCGUGCCGUGAGAUGUUGGGUUAAGUCCCGCAACGAGCGCAACCCUUGCUAUUAGUUGCUACGCAAGAGCACUCUAAUAGGACUGCCGUUGACAAAACGGAGGAAGGUGGGGACGACGUCAAAUCAUCAUGCCCCUUAUGACCUGGGCUACACACGUACUACAAUGGAUGUUAACAGAGGGAAGCAAGACAGCGAUGUGGAGCAAACCCCUAAAAACAUUCUCAGUUCAGAUUGCAGGCUGCAACCCGCCUGCAUGAAGAUGGAAUUGCUAGUAAUCGCGGAUCAGCAUGCCGCGGUGAAUACGUUCCCG